CCGAAUUAUACAAGCCCAGGCCAUUUCCCCUUCAUAUAUAAACCUAAACCCUAAUUUUCUUUCCCUCUUUUCCAUUUCCUCUUUCCUUUCUUCUGAACUUUAGAUCUCCGUAUCUCCCUGCCUCCCUCACCAAGUCACCACCUCCCUAAAUUCUCCCCCUUUUCUCACCAUUCACCACCUUGCGCGAACACCACCACCUUACGACCUCCCUCACCACCUUGCGUGAACUAUGAGUUGCGAAUUCUGAGUUGCGAGUUCAGAUCUUGCGAAUUUUGGGUUGCGAGUUUAGAUUUUACGAGUUGCGGCUCCCUCACCACCUUGCGCGAACACCUCCCUCACCACCUUGCGGCUCCCUUGUGCGUGCUCCCUCACCAACACCUCCGUCACUUUCACUCAAAGUAUGAACUCUGAAGGUUUGAAGAGUUGAAGAUGCGGAAGCUGCUGCCAUCAUGUUGAAUCUGUUGCUAUGUUGAAGCAGCCAUGUUAAAUUUAUUAGUUGAAUUUUAAAUGAGGACUUUUAUUACAUUUUUAAGACUUUUGUUAUGUGAAAUUUUAUUCUAAUGGCUGGCUAUUUAUUUAUUUAUUUUAUUAUG